GUUUGGAGCAGUGAUUUCAUUGUAGUCCAUUUUUUACUGCUACUAUAGAAUGCCUAAGAUCAAGUAAUUUAUAUGAAACACUUUAUUUCUUACAGUUCUGGAUGCUGGAAAGUCCAAGAUCAAGGGAGCAUAGAUCUUUACUGUCCAUUCUGGCCUGCAAACUGCUCCAAGAACAUGCACUGAGCUUACCACAUUGCUGGAACUGGGGAACAGUCCCAUUCAGAAUGAUUCUACUUGAACAGAAUGUAUAAGAGGCACAGAGAGGCAAAGAUAUUACCCAGAGACCAUGUCAAAGGCAGAGUGCAACCCGACCUCCAUUCCCUAACUAGCAGUACAGCACCGUACCUGAUGCCCUGACACCACAUCCUGUGAAACUGCUUGAACUUGGAAAAGUGGAGGUAAGUAGAAUUUUAUAUAUCAUGAUUUAUUUAUUUGAACACAAGGAUUAAAACAAUUCAAAGUACAGAACGUUUCAGCAAAAAAAAAAAAAAAAAGAAAAAGAAAAAGAAAAGAAAAGAAAAAAGACAAAUGAAGCACAGCAAAGGUCAAGGUCAGCACGGAGUAAUAGCAACAGGAGGAAGGCUGGACUGCGUUGGGGAACAGCAGAGUCCAGAGCAGCACAGCAGUGCCACUGAGGUUGGCUGGCAGCGGUGAGAGAACUGGAGUGCCAGACAGACUCUCAUCCUGACUCACAGCGACUGCGACGGGAGACGGGCAGGAGGGUGGGGGAGAAAUGAUCACCGAUCAGAUGGAUUCGUCAUCAAGGUCCUCUGUGGAAGACCUUCAUUUCCCAUCUUCACAUGGAAAUAAUCCAUCACAGGGAACUACCUCAUAAAAUCAUAAAAUUUAACCACAAAACAAUACAUUAUAAAUUAAAUAGUGAAUUUUCAAGAGAUCUGCUGCAUUUCUUUACAAUUUAGUAUUUAUUUGAGAAGUAGAGUGAUGGAAAGAGUGACAGAGAUAGAAAGAGAGAGAGAGAUCUCCCAUCCACUGGUUCACUCCCCAAAUGCCUAUAACAGCCUGGACUGCAUCAGGUUAAAGUCAGGAGCCAGGAUCUGUCUGGGUUACCCAAAGGGGUGACAAGGACCCAACUACUUGAGCCAUCAUCUGCUGUCUCCUAAAUUGUGUCAGCAGGAAUCUGGGUAGGAAAUAGAGGAGCCAGGUGUUGAAUUUUCACUCUACAAUGAGAUGUGAGAGUCCCAAGGUGCAGCUUACCCCACCCUAACACAGCGUUUUUUACUGAUGGCAUUUUACCAGGUGAUUCCAAAUUCAUACCCAGGAUCAUAACCAAGAUGAUAAAUACUUAAAAUGUCCUAUAUUCUAAAAGACCAGUUAAGCUACCUUUUAAAUAAUCUUAUAAAUUUAGAACAUUAUAUGAAUUGAUUUCUGUAUUUUAUUCUAUUCCCAAUAAACUGGAAAGUAUCUUUCCA
rnacentral:lncRNA from 1 species